GUCUGGAGCGGGCGGCCCCGCCAGGCGAGUCCCAGCGGGACGCAGCUCCCCGCCGCCGCCGCAGCGCCUUCCCCGCGGGCAACACCGCCGCCCUCACCGCCGCAUGCCGCGCCCCCGCCGCCCGGCUGCCCCCGGGCUCGCUGCGAACCGGCAGCGGGGCGCCCGGCCCGCCCGCGAGCAACGGCGAGACCCCGGGGGCCGUCCCCGCCGCGGCGGGGGGUGAGAGAGGGGGAGCGGCUUCCCGCUUGGCUCAGCUGCGGCCAGCGGGAGCCCCACACCGACCGGACACAGGCACCUUCCCGGGGAUGGAGGCGCCGCCGCUCUCCAGCCGGCGCGGAAAGUGGCUCCGGAGCGGCGGGCGGGCGGAGAAAAGAACGUCUACAACACAUCCACAACCGCUGCAAAUGCAUUCCUUCAUUUGAAAGGCUGUUCAUUUCAUCACCAGUGAUAAGUGAACACAGAAGCCAUUCGCAGUGAAAUAUGCAAGCUUCAAGCAAAGUAAAACCAUUUGUGCUGGUUGCUGGUGUAUUACAAAUUUCAGCGCCAUAAACACUUCAUGAAUCAUCUUCAAAGUACUUAUGGUUGGUAUAUACUUCAGUAACAGUCCACUGAUAGUUAACCCUUCAGACGUUACCAGGAAGUGCAGCCUUGAAGGAUUUGGAGAAAGAUAGCAUCUUGAUUCUUGAAAUUCAUGGCAAAAGAGAAUUCCUGACAAAACACAAACCUGAGGAAAAAACCAAGUUUCACACACAAAACAUGAAAAAAAAAGAUGUCCCAUUCUGCGCAUGAACUGUUCUGGUGGUGGUGACAGUGUUUAACCUCAGAGUUCUUAAGAGUGCCCUUUAACUCUUGACAAUUCACAGCAUCUUGAGCACUUGCUGUUUCCUGGAUGAUGUGUUGAAUGGAGUUGAAUAAGGACAGUGAUGAUAGCUCUGGAGUUUUGGUUAGAUUGAAUUUGUCGUUUGCUUGUGCUUUGUAGAGCAAGAAUUAUUUGCUGUGUAUCAAAUACUAGAGUCUGAAUAGCUUAACGCUUUUGUCUUGAUGUCAGAAGGUGGCAUUAAGCCAGUGUUGUUCUGUUGCUUUUGUUACCUUUUUGUUCAUAUAGUUCUAAUUAGGAAAAUAAUUCUGGGAUAUUUGACACAAACUUUUAAGUUACUUUUACAUUUACGUUUCAGAUUUCAGUCCCCCAAGAAUAUCAGCAACUAUACUUUCACAUAGAUUUAAUAUCUACUUAAUUAAGAAUGUAUAGUUAUUUAGUAGAAUCUUUAAGUAGAAAGAUAAUACUUCUAUUUUUAAUGCCCUAAUAGCAGUAUCUGCCUGUCAUAUAUUUAAAUAUCUAUAAAUUAGGGAGUUUCCAACUUACUUGUCUGUGAUACAAUGUUAAUCUGUUUCAUUUCUCCAGGGAAUUGUUAUUCUGAAAUACCAUUUCUCUCUCCCCUGACUUUGACUUAAAGCACAUGUAAAAUUUCUCUUCAAGAAACAUCUAGAAGAAACAACUCCAUGCCCAGCUCAUCACCAUGUACUGAUUUUUACCUGUGUGCUUUAUCUCCAAGUUAUUUUGAGAGUGCCUUGGGACUGAAGACUGUUCAGAUAGGGCUGAUAGCUUAUUGCUUUACAUGUGGAAAAAAGGUCAAGCUGGUUUAACUAACCUUUCCUGUAAGAAAAUUACAAGUUUGCAUGUUGUCUUUUUGUUAUCCUAUGUGGAUGGAUUGGCUAUCAGGUUCUGUGCUUUCCUUUCUUCUUUAUAUUCAGCCAUUUAUAUUUAGGCAGGGUGAUGGAAGUGUUGAUAAGAACCGUCAAAAGCAACAACAUAAGCAUUUUUCUUCAAGUGUGGGACACUGGCAAGGGAGGAGGCAUGACUUGAUACUUAAAGAACCACAAGCCACUUCCCUGUUCUUGUUAGCUCUCAAAUGGUUUUCUUCCCUGCAAAAUGAGAACAAUGAUAAUGCCUUUCUUUGUAAAAGAGCUACUAGAUUAUUUAGGUGUAAACACACAGCCAGGCUACUGAGGAAUUCUGUGCUGGCCUGUAUGGACCAUGCCAUGGAGCUACUGGUCCAAGGAGCACACUCUUCUUUUUUAAGCAAAGCAAAUACUGCAGAUGCUACAGAAAGGCUUUGUAGUUCUUGACAUAAAUGUGGACACCUUGACAGACUAGAGGCCAUCCUCUUGGGUAAUUAAUAAUUCAUGGAGAAAGUAUCUGAACUGGAGAGUGUAGUUACACAACUGUAGAAGACAUUCAGGGUAUAUUUGGUGCUGUGAUAUGUUGUCUGUAAUUCUUGCAUUGCCACAGCAGGAUCCAGCAUGAUUGAAGCACUGACCGUUUUUCUGGUUUCUUCAAGUGUAACUUCUGAUUAUGCCACAAUUAAUAAACUUUUAAAUAUAGAAUCAUUU
ensembl:lncRNA